GGCUGCAACUCGCCUGCACGAAGUCGGAAUUGCUAGUAAUCGUAGGUCAGCAUACUACGGUGAAUACCGUUCCCGGGCCUUGUACACACCGCCCGUCAAACCAUGAGAGUUGGCAACACCCGAAGUCGGUAGUCUAACCGCAAGGAGGACGCCGCCGAAGGUGGGGUUNAUGAUUAGGGUUAAGUCGUAACAAGGUAAC
rnacentral:rRNA from 1 species